rnacentral:miRNA from 1 species
CGGCGGGGGCUGGCGCGAGG